CUUCUUUCAGAUUCAAGGAAUUGUUUGUAAGCUCGUUCAACAGAAUGUUAGGUAAUAUUUCAGGACCUAAGGGGAUUUCUAUCUGAAGUUUGAGUUCUGCACAAAAUAAACAUAAUAAAUUUUACAUUUCAGAUAGAUUGUUCUUAUUCUUUUUGUUGAUUUUAUCCUACAAAAAUAGCAAAUGUUAUUGAUAUAAUCAACUUCUGGGUAAUGAUUCCAGUUAUGUGUA